GGGGGCAUAGCUCAGCUGGUAGAGCGUCUCGUUCGCAAUGAGAAGGUCAGGGGUUCGACUCCCCUUGCCUCCA
rnacentral:tRNA from 1 species